rnacentral:rRNA from 1 species
AGAGUUUGAUCCUGGCUCAGAAUCAACGCUGGCGGCGUGCCUAACACAUGCAAGUCGCACGAGAAAGGGGAGCAAUCCCUGAGUAAAGUGGCGCACGGGUGAGUAACACGUGACUAACCUACCUCCGAGUGGGGAAUAACUGAGAGAAAUCUUAGCUAAUACCGCAUAACACUUACGAGUCAAAGCAGCAAUGCGCUUGGAGAGGGGGUCGCGGCAGAUUAGUUAGUUGGCGGGGUAAUGGCCCACCAAGACGAUGAUCUGUAUCCGGCCUGAGAGGGCGCACGGACACACUGGAACUGAAACACGGUCCAGACUCCUACGGGAGGCAGCAGUGGGGAAUUUUGCGCAAUGGGGGAAACCCUGACGCAGCAACGCCGCGUGGAGGAUGAAAUAUCUUGGUAUGUAAACUCCUUUCGAUGGGGAAGAUUAUGACGGUACCCAUAGAAGAAGCCCCGGCUAACUUCGUGCCAGCAGCCGCGGUAAUACGAGGGGGGCAAGCGUUGUUCGGAUUUAUUGGGCGUAAAGGGUGCGUAGGCGGUUUGGCAAGUCUGAUGUGAAAUCUGUGGGCUCAACCCAUAGUCUGCAUCAGAAACUGCCGGGCUUGAGUAUGGGAGAGGUGAGUGGAAUUUCCGGUGUAGCGGUGAAAUGCGUAGAUAUCGGAAGGAACACCUGUGGCGAAAGCGGCUCACUGGACCAUAACUGACGCUGAUGCACGAAAGCUAGGGGAGCAAACAGGAUUAGAUACCCUGGUAGUCCUAGCCCUAAACGAUGAUUGCUUGGUGUGGCAGGUACCCAAUCCUGCCGUGCCGAAGCUAACGCGAUAAGCAAUCCGCCUGGGGAGUACGGUCGCAAGGCUGAAACUCAAAGGAAUUGACGG